rnacentral:rRNA from 1 species
GACGAACGCUGGCGGCGUGCUUAACACAUGCAAGUCGAACGGGCCCGCUCUCUUUUUUGGGGGUGGGUUGAGUGGCGAACGGGUGAGUAUCACGUGAGUAACCUGCCCCCUGCUCCUGGAUAACUGCUUGAAAGGGCGGCUAAUACGGGGUGUGCCGGCUGGUCCGCAUGGGCCUGGUCGGGAUAGUUUCAUCUUCGGGUGUUUCGGUGGGGGAUGGGCUCGCGGCCUAUCCGCUUGUUGGGGGGGUGAUGGCCCACCAAGGCGGUGACGGGUAGCCGGCCUGGGAGGGUGGGCGGCCACACUGGGACUGAGACACGGCCCAGACGCCGGCGGGAGGCAGCAGUGGGGGGUAUUGCACAAGGGGCGGAAGCCUGAUGCAGCGACGUCGCGUGAGGGAUGGAGGCCUUCGGGUUGGGAACCUCUUUCUCCGGUGGUGAAGGCCCUGUCCGUUGCGGCGGGGUUGACGGUAGCCGGGGAUGAAGCGCCGGCUAACUACGUG